GCACUGGUGGUUCAGUGGUAAAAUUCUCACCUACCAUGUGAAAGACUCAGGUUUGAUUCCCAGCCAGUGUA
rnacentral:tRNA from 1 species